rnacentral:rRNA from 1 species
UACGGAGGGUGCGAGCGUUGUCCGGAAUCAUUGGGCGUAAAGGGCGCGUAGGUGGCGGCUUAAGCGUGCGGUGAAAGCUCGGGGCUCAACCCCGAGUCGGCCAUGCGAACUGAGUCGCUUGAGCACUGUAGAGGCAGGCGGAAUUCCGGGUGUAGCGGUGGAAUGCGUAGAGAUCCGGAAGAACACCGGUGGCGAAGGCGGCCUGCUGGGCU